rnacentral:misc_RNA from 1 species
AACGCACAUUGCGCCCCUUGGUAUUCCGAGGGGCAUGCCUGUUCGAGCGUCAUUAUAACCACUCAAGCCUCGGCUUGGUAUUGGGGUUCGCGGUCUCGCGACCCUUAAAACCAGUGGCGGUGCCAUCUGGCUCUAAGCGUAGUAAUUCUCUCGCUACAGGGUCUAGGUGGUUACUUACCAAAACCCCCUAUUUUCUAUGGUUGACCUCGGAUCAGGUAGGGAUACCCGCUGAACUUAA